rnacentral:rRNA from 1 species
AGUGAACGCUGGCGGUAGGCCUAACACAUGCGAGUCGAACGGCAGCACAGUAAGAGCUUGCUCUUACGGGUGGCGAGUGGCGGACGGGUGAGGAAUACAUCGGAAUCUACUUUUUCGUGGGGGAUAACGUAGGGAAACUUACGCUAAUACCGCAUACGACCUACGGGUGAAAGCAGGGGAUCUUCGGACCUUGCGCGAUUGAAUGAGCCGAUGUCGGAUUAGCUAGUUGGCGGGGUAAAGGCCCACCAAGGCGACGAUCCGUAGCUGGUCUGAGAGGAUGAUCAGCCACACUGGAACUGAGGCACGGUCCAGACUCCUACGGGAGGCAGCAGUGGGGAAUAUUGGACAAUGGGCGCAAGCCUGAUCCAGCCAUACCGCGUGGGUGAAGAAGGCCUUCGGGUUGUAAAGCCCUUUUGUUGGGAAAGAAAAGCAGCAGGUUAAUACCCCGCUGUUCUGACGGUACCCAAAGAAUAAGCACCGGCUAACUUCGUG